CACGUAGGGUGCGAGCGUUGUCCGGAAUUAUUUGGGCGUAAAGAGCUCGUAGGCGGUGUGUCGCGUCGGCCGUGAAAAACCCUGCAGCUUAACUGUGGGCUUGCGGUCGAUACGGGCAUCACUGGAGUUCGGUAGGGGAGACUGGAAUUCCUGGUGUAGCGGUGAAAUGCGCAGAUAUCAGGAGGAACACCGGUGGCGAAGGCGGGUCUCUGGGCCGAUACUGACGCUGAGGAGCGAAAGCGUGGGGAGCGAACAGG
rnacentral:rRNA from 1 species